rnacentral:rRNA from 1 species
UGCGGCCUACGGGACGCAGCAGUGGGGAAUAUUGGGCAAUGGGCGCAAGCCUGACCCAGCAACGCCGCGUGAAGGAAGAAGGCUUUCGGGUUGUAAACUUCUUUUGACAGGGAAGAGCAGAAGACGGUACCUGUUGAAUAAGCCACGGCUAACUACGUGCCAGCAGCCGCGGUAAUACGUAGGUGGCAAGCGUUAUCCGGAUUUAUUGGGUGUAAAGGGCGUGUAGGCGGGAUU